rnacentral:lncRNA from 1 species
UCCUUGAGAAGAUAGGAGGAAAAGGGAAUGCAAUGGAGGAAUGGCCAGGAGAAAGGAGACAGAUUUCUCUUGAAACUGGCGGGAGGAGUCCAAGGAUGGGUGUGCUUCUACUUAACGUUUAUGGUUUUGGAUGCACAUGGUGAGAGCAUUCCUUAACGGCCCCUCUUUUAUAUUUGAAGUUUGAAGCUUCUCCUUUCGGCUUACUUGGUAACAAGGGUGGUGAGAAAAGAGAGACAUAAUUAUGGGAUGAUAGUAGGUGCUAGUCAGAUGUUUGUUCAAUAAUAAGUGGGUUUUUAAAAACCAUCUUUUGAGUAAUAACAGUGUCAGGCAUUGUACUGAAGUCUUUUCGGGCAUUUUUAUAAUAUUUAUAAUCUACUGUAUUUACCUUGUUUAUAAGUUAAUAUUGCCUCCAUUUUAUGGGAAAGGCAUGGUGUGGUAAUUGCACAGUUCAUUCCUUUACUAACUUUAUUUAUUUACUGAUCUCUAUGUGCUAAGCAUCAUUCUCAGCAUAGGAAGUAAAUGUAUCAGUAAUGCAAACCAGGGACUAUCUGAUUUCAAAAUCCAGUCACUUUGCAGUAGGUCAAUAAAAAUGGCCCAACAAUGCAAAUGAGUUUGCCCUUUGAACCAUAUACUGGAUUCACCUAUGCAGAUGAGACAGAGAGCUGCUUCAUUAUACAACACUGGCAAAUAAAUCAGUAUUUCACAGCUAUUUUAAUUAUUUCAAGUACAUUCAAAUUAUUAAGAAUAAGUCUGGAAGUUGAACUCCAACAUAAUUUCUCUAUUGUUAUUAGGAAGAUGGAUUAAUAGCUUGCCUUUUUAUGUAACUUCCUUCUUAAAUAUUCAAAAAGCAACAUCUUCAGGAUUUUACAACUCUUAUGGUAAAAUUACCAGGAAUUCAUAAUUUAGGAUAUCUCACUUUAGUUGAAGUUAUUCACUUUGAAGAAAAAAUUUAAUAACCAGUAUAAUGAUUUAUACAAAGCUGUGGAAAAGCUUCUGAUUUUGAGAGUGACAGUGGUUGUAUUUAACUCAUCUUUUAAAACAGGUGUUUAAUUGUUGGGAAAUUUGUUAAAAUUUUAGUCAUCUACUGAAGCACACUCAAAUGAUUUAUUUGUACAAACCGAUUAGGUUUCUCUUUUAAUAGUUCUGUGAUUUAGGAUUUCCAUUAUGCUGGGCUUUUUUAAUUCAUAGGAUGUUUCUGUAUUCACAUGUUCACAUUUAAUUUUUGUUUUUUUAAUUUUUAAUUUUUAUUUUUGUCUUUUUGUCUUUUAAGGCCACACCCAUGGCAUAUGGAAGUUCCCAGGCUAGGGGUCAAAUGGGGGUUGUAGCCCCCAGCCUAUGCCAGAGCCACAGCAAUGCAGGAUCUGAGUCGCAUCUGCGACCUACACCACAGCUUAUGGCAACACCAGAUCCUUAACCCACUAAGCAAGGCCAGGGAUCAAACCCUUUUCCUCAUGGAUGCUAGUUGGGUUUGUUAACCUCUGAGCCACAACGGUAAUGCCCUCUAAUUUUUAUUUUUGAGAGGCAAGAUUUGUUUUGUUUUUACUUUUCUGUGGGUUGCAACUGGGGAAGAACAAGCAUUGUUGGCCACCUUGUACCUCUGGGACUUUUGUGGGAAAAGUGAAAUGCUAUGGCAUAUUUAAAACCAUACUUAGAAGCAACAAUAAGGCCAUGUGUGUAAGUGCCAUCCCACUGUGGCACAACAUCAGACAUGUUGCUGUUUUGGUGAACAAACUUACAGGACUGAGCACCUCUCAAAGUAACUUUUAUAUUUGAACAAAUAUAAAGAUGGACCAGCAGAAUGAAUUACUCAUCAAGGGCUUGGCAAGAGGGAGUUACUAUGAGCAAAUGCUGGUGAAUUUAAUGAUUCUUUAGGACCAUGUAGACAUUUAAGAUUCUCUGAGGUCUAAAUUUGGGCAAUUUACAAGUGUGAAAUUGCCAGUCUAGUUAAAAGCGGCAGAAAUCAUGCAUUGCUUUUAGGAAGCAAUUUUAAUAUUAAAGGAGCACUAGAAAGCAGUCAGGGCAUAACAAUAUUAUGUUAGUAACUUUUACUUUGUUAGGAUGAAACAGUUGAUUCCAUGAGGAAGGUGGAACAAAAGUAGCUUCCCAGAAAUUUCUCUUCUUCUAAGAGUAGAAGAGAUAAUCAGGGCAAUAUUAUUUUAUUUUCAAUCUCUUUGCAUUAGUUAUUAUUCCUGAUUUAAAAAGAAUUUUCCCUACUAAGUAGGCAUUCAGAAUUUGGAAAAAUGUCAUAUGGCUAAAGAGAAAAGCAAUACUAUGGAAAAUCCUCAUUUUCUUUUAGACAACUGAAAUUAAAUUCAACAACCCAGGUAUGUUUUUAUACAUGCUGGGGUGUUUGAAGGGAUGAUUUACCAUGUAUAAUAUGUUCUUUUAUAGUAAAAUGGACUUUCCAACUGAACAAAUGUAAAACCGGCCAAUGUAUUAGUAAAACAAUGGUUUUUAGACAUAGGACAAAAGAUAACACAAGAUUAUGAUCCCUUAAAGAAAAGAAACAAAAUGAGAUUUUCAGUUACAUCAGUUUACUACUUAGCUUGGUGAGGGUGCCAUCAGAGAUCAGGGGCCUUGCUAAAUUGAAGAGAAAGUCCACAAAGGCCACCUCAGCUAGAAUUUGCAGGACAGUGUGCCAGUGAGGACAGAGAACAGGGACAGAGCUCUGGAGAUCUGCAGAGACCUCCUGUAAGUCUUUGAUCUUUAUGAAUGACACUACUUGAGAUGGGGGCGCUAAGUGGAAACAUACCACGAAGAGAGUAUGCAGAACAUUCCCAGAGCUCAAACUGGCUGGGAAUAGUUCGUGUUUCCACUGUCCAAAUGGGAACGAGUUGUCAUACAAAGAGCAUUAAGUUGAAUGCUCAGAAAAGUUUUACCCUAGUUGAGAUAAAUUGGCUUUAUGCUAAAGACUACUCUUGACACACCCAUUAAAACAUGCAAACAAGCUUCAAAAAUGCUUUACUUGAUUCCAAGCAAAUUAACUGCAUGCCAGAAUAAAAUCCAAUGUUAUUUAAAGGAAUACAACAAAACCUAGCAAAGAACAGCAUAAAAUUCACAUCAAAUGGCAUCAAACAUAAAAUAACCAGGCAGGCGAAAAAACAAAAAAUGUAAUUAUAAUCAUAUGAAAAUAGAAACAGUUCCAUAAAAUACACUCAGAAUUUUAAAAGAUGAUGAAGCUAACAUACAAGGAUGUUAAAACAGUAAUUAUAAAUGUGCUCCAUAUGUUUAAGGAGGUAGAGGAAAACACGAACAUGGUAAGAGAGAACUAACCUAAAUGGAACCUCUAAAGC